GGCAAUCAAAUAAACACCUAACAAGAAUCUCAAUUAAUAUAUUAACUAAAUCAUCCUAUGAUGGUGCUCACGACCUAUCUAUGAUUGCAUACAUACAGCCAUACACGUCCUUAUCAAAGUUCCUACCUUCUGCAUCAUUAGCCCCUCUUCAUAUUUGUCUCCUUUUUUCAAAUGCUACCAUCAUCAUUCAUUCUUCAUAUUUUCAACUAUCAUACAUACUCUUAUCUCAGAAUAAAAUGAUAGCUAAAACAACCGUUUCAUGUGAAACUUAUCCACAAAAGGUUCAAAUUGUUACAAAAUCAGUUUCUGAUAGAUUGUUGCAGAAAUUCUAUGAUGAGCCACUGUUUGAUUUUGAUUAUGAGAAAAGUGGAUUGUGGUCUCCUCCAGUUCCACGUACGGUUUUCUUGAGUUCACCAGGAAGCAUAUUUACUCAUAGAGAAUUGCUUGAUAGACUCAGAAACACAAAUGCACGAAGAAAAAUCAGAGUGUUCUGUUGUUCCUGAGUAUGAAGAUUUCAAGCUCUACAUUAUGUUCAAAAUUUCGGUGUGAUUGAAUUAUUAUAUUCACAUGAACUUAGUUAAAUAUUUGUUUUUGUUUUAGCUAAAUUUGAUUUGUGAUUUAUUUGUAUAUGUUUGUUUACGUGAGAAGCAUAUAGAAUAUGAAUUUUUUAUGACUUUCCAAUGAA